UUGGAAUGAAAAGCACCUGCAUGGGGAGACUUCCUCCUUGUCAUUUUAGUGCAGACUCUCCAUUUCCUCAUGGUCCAAAGGGGAUUAUCAGUAGCUAAUUCAUAAUCUUGCUGAGAGAAAUCAAAGAGAUUCCAGUAGCAAAGUGCACAGCAGAAAGCCCAAUACACCUGGGAUUCUCUAAACAUUCAGAGAUGACGGGGUCCAUGCCAUGUCCCAGAUGUGACACCCAGAUAAGGUGUUGGGGUCAUUAAUGUAUUUGCAGAAGUUAGCGGCAUCCUGGAGGCGCAGAGGCUUUUCUGAGGCUUGCUGGCCUGUAUAUUUCAACGUGUUUCAUUUUCUCCAAGAGCAAGACAGCUGAGAAAGGUCACGAGUCUCGGGUUAAAAGCCCGGAAAUGGACCAGGGCCCCACACUAUGACAUCAUUUUCUUGCAAUGCAGUGAAGCAAUGACAAUCCAUGAAGGAAAAAAAAAAUGACUAGCGAGGCUUUGCAGCCGUGGUGAGCCCCAGAAUCUGCCUAGGAGAGUGAGGGGAGAGAACAGGAGAGGGAGAGUGGCCUAGAGCCUGGUCCACUACUGCUUGUUGACAGUCCUGUGGCUGGUGCAAGCGGAAGAAUUAAGGUUAAAACCUGCUUCAGUGCCUAACUGCCAGUCCUGGUGUGGGUCGGUAUCGACCCUUUUCUGACUCAAACAGCUGUCUCUGGACCAGCGACAGGGGCUCUGCGCUGCACUGACCUUCCUGGACAUGUGCACACAGAGGUCUGUUCACGCAGAUGAAGAGAGUAAGAGCAGCCUGAAGAAACGGCCAUACAGCUCCCUCCUUGCCGGCACCUCCACAGGACGUCUUCUCUCUUAGGCUAUCACCCACUUACGUAAACUCUGGAGGGUGAGGGAUCAGCUUUGAGUCUUAUGGGAUCCUCCUGAGACUCUCCUGUGAGUUCCUUGAGCUGCCCUUCUCCUUCUACGAGGGGAUGUUUCAGCCCAGCAGAAGCAGCUGGGAAGACCUUGUCCUGGGCACAAUUUGGAGUGGAUGUCCAGACUUUCUAAGUAGUCCUGUGAGGAUGUGAAUACCCUCCUUGUGGGAGACACUCAGAAGUCUAAGUUUGAGAACUUGCCUGAUUAUGAGGCUUGGACAAAAUCAGCCUCCUGAGUGGCCAUUUCCAAACACAUAGGGAUCGUUUCUCAGGACUGACAAAAAGAUGUCCUCAGUGCCCCAACACGGGUCAUAGGAGGCUUGCUGGCUCAGUGAACAAGAGCCCUGGACUAGGUGUCAGCCUGGCCAUGUGAUCUUGUACAACGCGCACAAUUGUGGUGGUGCUACUGGCCUCCCGGUGGAAGAGCCUGACCUGGAUUCCAUCUAACCGGUCCAGCCCCGAAUCAAGGCAAGGAUUUAAGGGCUCUGGCCAACACAUAAAGAGGCUGCAUCAGAAUGCCUGCUGUUCCACCUCUGACCAGGGACUGCAAGACGGCUAUAAAGCACAGCUGUAGAACUUGGUCAUUUUUCUUUGCUCAACCCACUUAGCUCCUCUUGGAAGUUAGCAGAAGCCACCAAAUACUGACUACAGUAUCAUAAGGCUUUUCAUGACAGUGAGAUACAUCUGCUUCUUGAAGCACCGAUCUACUUCAGAGAAGAUGAUGGGACUCAAAGACACUCCAUAUGGAGUUUACUUUUAUUGUGGCAAAGUUAGCCACUGGGCAAGAAACUACCCUUGCCUUGACUGCUGACAGUAUGCUGUCCAAAUUAGACAAGGAAGACACAAAGGAAGUUAACUGCUGAACUUUGUCAAGACAAGGGAGGGAACAACUGGAAAUGACGCAAUCGCCUUGGGCAAAGGCCAACUUUACGCAGAGCUGAUUCCCCAGGUGCAGCCCAUCUACUGCUGAGGACACCAGUCACAGGACGAGAGACCUGCUCGGAGCACAGGGGCAUGCCAAGACGGCUUGCUUCUGCUGCCGUCACAGAAGGUCUAUUUAAUAGGUCCUUUGGAAGAGUAAAAUCUGAGGCUUUGAGUCAUUCACUGAAGCAGCAGUGACCACUCUGGAAGUCAGCCUCAAGGCGCUGAGAUGGAAUGAGAAAGGACCCCUCACCAGGACAUGCCGUCCCACCCAUCAGACCAGCUUGAUCUCCUCUUUGCUCAAUGCACAAAAUUCUCAAAAAAUAAAAUGG